AUGCGUCGUUGCAUUUCGCCCGCUACGACGACAACGACAACUACAGCGGCCGUGACCUCGUCAUCCCCAGCUUCUUCUUGCAGGGAUGUUGAUUCUGCAGACAUGCUCGAGCCGCACAAUGCACCGACCAGUAAGGCCCGUCUGCUAUCUCUGAUGGAGACCGGCCUCUCCUCCACUGUUGGGAUGUCACGUCUCGGACGGUGGUUGACGAAGGAGGACAACGACGCGGUGUACCUCAAGGUGCCAAUGUCGGGGAUGACGAAGGAGCAAGUGAAGGUGAGGGCGGAGAAGAACAUCCUGGUGAUCAAGGGCGAGGGCGAGAAGCAGCCCUGGGACAGCGAAGACGACUCCGCGGUGCCGAGGUACAACCGCCGCAUGGAGAUACCUGCUGACGUGUACAAGAUGCACAAGAUCAAGGCUGAGAUGAAGAAUGGCAUCCUCUGGGUGACCCUGCUCAAGGUGAAGGAGGAGGGGCCCAAGAACAUCUUCCACGUCAAUCUCAAGUUGAGAGGCGAGUCAAGUAGUCCUUAG
rnacentral:rRNA from 1 species